rnacentral:lncRNA from 1 species
GGGUGUCUUCUCUAAUAAGGCAUCGAUGUUGAUGUGAUUAAGUAGUAAUGGCUUUCAGAUGCUGGGGCGCGGGGGUUCCCUAGUUUGAAGCUUCUCAAGGGGGAGUUUAAUUGAUUCAGCUCUGAUUGAUUGGCCUCGAUUUAACCUGCCCGCCUCAGCUGAGGGACAUUGUCAUGCCGUGUGAAUGCAAUGCUUGGAGUUCUCACCUGGUACAUCUUAGCCAUCUUAUGAAAUUUCAGGAUACCCAUGAUCUUCGUCCUUCAAGUGGUACUGGUGCUACAUGGCUGCUAGUGGCUCAGCUUUCCUUAGGGAACAUCAGUAAUGAAUAGUAAAAUAAUAAACACAGAUACAUUGGGAAUGUUGCUUUUAGAUAAGUUACAGCAUCCCGUAACUGAGUCUGGGCUUCUCAUUCUCUUUCUGAUGUGGACACUGGGUUUCAAAUCGCUCUCACUAGUUUCUAGAAUGAUCCUGGGAUGAGAUUCGGAACUUCCUGGAUGUGGGUUGCCAUCUCUAAAGUUUGCCUUUACUUCCACAUCAAAAUUCUCACUUACCUCUUGUGAAGAAGGAGGCAUUGGCCCAGAUUUUACAUUCCUAAUGGAGGUGCUUUCCUCGACAAAGAGCCUGGCUUACCCUAAAACUUUUGCCAAAGGCAAAGAAGAUAACAUAGACGCAUAGAGACUUUAUAUCACAGGUCACCGCUCCAUGACCUUGACUGUCUUCUCUUGUGAACUAUGAAAAACUCCUCAUCACUCCUAGGCAGAGGUCUACUGUGUGCAGCCAUUCCUCGAAUCACCCGAGGACUCAGUACCUAGCACCUGUUAUGCCAGGGCUCAAGCAAUCACUUGUACUGUAUCAAGAAUGGAGGUUCUGAAAGUGGACACAUGUCAGAAAAAUAUGUAUAUUUUCCAAACAAGUCAAAUGUUUCCAAAUAUUUUCCUAAACAGUAUCUUACAUUGAUUUGGUGUGUGGGGGCAUUCAGUUUUAACAUUUAAGAGCACCAAAAUUUGUUGUUUCUAAGUAUGUAUACAUAUUUAAAAAAAGCCAAAUUCUAUAUUGUUCGUCUUUCUAUCAACAGAAAUGUUUUUCCUGAGAAAGCAUUCCAUCAAAGAAGCAGAUGAGGCCAAAUACUCCUCCAGUUUCAAUUUUCUAGAGGUUAGAGCUAUAAUGUCAUCCCUAGUCCAUACUUCAUAGCCAGCUCUUUCCAUACAUUAUCAAGACAGAGUCUCACACUGGUUAUAAGAAUGGUUUAUUUGGCAGUUUUAAGAACCGAGUCUUGAAAGGCUGAACACCUGUGGGAAUCUGGCUGCCAGAGGUUUGCAGGUGUUCUGACUAAUGCUUUGAGAGACCAGCACUAGCAAUAACUUGCAGUUUUUCAGGUCUGUGAUGGAAAGAUUCUGCACCCUGGGUCUCUAAUCCUUGGUAUUUGGAGGUUACUUAAGAGGGAAAUGAAAGGGGAGGGAUAGAGCAUUCUCAGAGGUUAACCUUUGAACUCCGGGCCAGCCACAGUCAGUAGCAAAGGCACCUUGGUGGUUUUGCUCAAACCCUGAGCUUUCUUGCCUGUAGAAGCUGACAGAAUGCCAAUAUAAGGCCGACUGGCAUUCCUUGUUACUGAGGGGGGAAAAAAAGCUCAAAGGAAUGUUCUUUUUUCCUUUCAAAGAAGUAUCUACAAAUUAACAUUUUGGGGCAUAAAAAUAGUUUAUGAAGCUUGCAAAUUUUUCUGAAAAUAAAAAUUUGAAGAGCACUCUGGACAUUUGUGGCUUAGUCAGAAUAGUCACAAAAGGAGGAGAUGUGUAGCCCUGUCCUGUAGGGCUAGCUCCGAUUAUCAGCUGCCGGUCUCCUUCCUUCCCUAUGGUAGGACACAGCAUAUCCAGCUAUCCGGAGACAGACUAGCGACUGACAUUGUGUCUGUUUCAUUCUGGGUCCUCCCAGCGCUGUGCCCACCAUCUGGAAUACAAGAAUACUUCGUCACUAUGUUCAUCCGUGUGAAGGAAUAUAUUCGGGUCAGCCCAUCUGUGAUCUGUGUGUUGGAGAUCUGUUUAUAGGGAUAGAUGAUGCUGAACCACAUUAACUCUGGAGUUAGGAGCCAACUUGGGUAAAUUGAGAUCAUCCAAUGUGUGGAUCCCAAUGAUGAAGAAACAAGUAACCAAGUGGGUAACAUGGUAGCCACAGCUAGUGGGCUGUAAAAGACCGGAAGGAGGUCCCGGCUGAGUAACACGUGUGCAAGGCGAUCUUCUUUGCUUCAUGCCUUCUCUCCCAGGGCCAGGCAUCUUCAGGGUGUGCGCCACUGGUCACACAAAACCAGUGACCAAAUGAGGGCCGUUCUGCAUACAUUUAUCAUUAAAGCCCACAGAAGGAGCACGUGAGGGUGCGUGCCCUGCUGACUGCGGGUCAGAGAGUUCUUUCUGUAUCUCAGGGACAGAAGGUUCAAUAAAGAUUCAAGUAUGGAGACUACUUCACCCUCCAAGUGUGCCAAACUGUGUCAGCCAGAAAACUGCUCCUUAGGGGAUACGAUUUCCUCCUUUCCCUAAAUUAAAAAAAUGAACUGUGGACUCUAAAACAAUACAUGUUAUUAUCAUAGAGAGAGCAAAGAGUAAAUAAAGACACUUGCUUAAUGAAAUAACAGUUCAUUUUAACUUAAUGGAAGUCAUUUUUUUCUGUGCUUCGUUAUGGAAAUAGGCCACAGUCGGUUUUUCUGCCAUUCUUCAUAACCUUGUAUUAUGCUUCCUGUUUAUGCUCCUAAGAGCUGUCUUUAAAGAGCCUUAAGGGACAUCCUUUAAUACUUUCCCUUUAACAUAAUUAUUCAUCUAUAUCACACCCCCUUAGAAUGUUUGAGGAUUCGGAGAUAUAGAAAGUUCUUAAUGAGAUGUGGUUAAUGAUCUGUGCAAGGUAUCACCUGGCUUAGCUAACAUAAAUUAUAUUUAAUUAGUCAUUCUACAGAAGAACACACCUCAGAAUAGAUUGAGUGCCUAAAACACAGUUUGCUUUUUAUGUUUAGUAGUCAUAAAUAAGAUUCUCUUUACAAUUUUUAUUAUGUAUCUUUAUGUGUAUGGGCAUUUUGCCUGCAUGUGUGUCUGUGCACCACAUGUGCGCGGUGCCUGCAGAGGCCAAAACGGUGUCAGAUGCCCUGGGACUGGAGUUACAAUUGGUUACCAGUGCUCUUAACCACCAAGCCAUCUCAGCCCCACAAAUAAGUUUCUAUGGGUACUAUUUUGGGAUUUUAAGGGCUUGUUUGGGAGCUGGGGUGACAGGCAGUGGAGUAAUUUGCCUUAUAAUCAUGAAAAGUUGAAUUUAAUCCUGAAAACCCAAAUAAAACAGCCAGGUGUGUGGUUCGUGCUUGACUUAGUGGACAGGCAAAGCCUGAGGCUCAUUGGUCAAUAAGCCCAUUUGCUGAACUCCAGGCCAAAUAGAGACUCUGUCUC